AGACUCAUUAUUUUUUUAGUAGCAUAAGCCCAUUAUUAUUUUUUCUAACUUACUGCUAUCCAUGUUUCCAAAUAAUACUAUUUUUUUAAUUACUAUUCAUAUUGCCAAACAAUCCUAAUGUGUACUUCAACUUUAAUAAUAUAGAUAAUUAAGUUAGUAGUAUGAGAAAUAAUAGGAAUUCUAGUUAAAUGAAAUGGUUCAACUAUGACUUGUUUUAAGUAGAUUUUUUAGGACUCCUUCCCUUUUAAUAGUAUUGAUUUAGAUUGUUUUUAUUUCUUCUAUUCCCAUUAUUUAUCAGUGUGUACAUAUAGUAAUCGAUUGGUUUAACUGAUAUUACUGGUGUUUGUAUUAAUAAAGUAACGGUUUCUAGUAGUUUUGCAACAACAUAGUUCUUUAUUACUUCAAUUACCUCUAAAUGUAACAUUUUUAAAUUGACCUAUGUUUCAUGCAUUGUUUGUUAAAUAAAUAUUAAUAAUGUUUCAUGUGUAUUGCACCCAAAUUAAAAACAUUAGUAGUUUUUUUUUUGUUUUAUCCUUGUUAUUUAUAUUAUUUUGUUUAAAAUUAUUAUUUAAUAAACUAAAAAUUAGAGUAAAAACUGAAAGUUUAUUUAAUAUGUAUCAAAAAUUUAAAAUCCAUCUAUAAUAUUAAAACAGAAAGCCAUUUGUGAAGUCCCCUUCUAUUUUGUGGAAAUUACCGAGUUUUUAAAUAAUAUAUUUUUUCUAAAAUCCAAACUGAAUUAUAUACCGGGUCUACUGGUUCGACCGUGGAUCUAGGUAGGGUUUCAAAACAGUGGUUUUGACAUUCAAUAGGUUGGUUAGAAAGUUUUAUAAACUACGUUUAGUUUACUUUUAUAAUACUAGCAAAUUCUAGAUUUCUAGCAUUUUAAUAAAAUAAUUAAAUUCCACCUGUACUAUACAGUUGUUGUUAUUAGUAUUGAUGUCUUGUGUUGAACUAUUAUCUUCUUUUUUGUGGUAGUCUGUGACUAGAGUGAAGCCAUAUAUAUGCACAAUGCCAUUGAAGAUGGAUGAGGGGUGGAAUCAGAUCCAGCUGAACUUACCUGAUCUUACUAGCAGAGCUUAUGGGACUAAUUACGCUGAGACUUUGCGAGUUCAGGUUCAUGCUAACUGCCGUCUUAGAAGGAUAUACUUUGCUCACCGUCUUUACUCAGAUGAAGAGCUCCCUCCGGAGUUCAAGCUCUAUCUCUCUGUGCAGAAAGCAUGAAAAGUUAUUCCGAGUGUUUAUGUCUUGUCAGAUAGACCUAGAGCAUUUACAUUAGGUGAGAGUUUCAAGAUGGCUUGUAGCAUCCAUGCCAUGGUAUGUGGAAUUUGUCAUACCUUGAGCAGCUUGUGACUUGAUAACUUAAGUUUUGUUAAGUCUUUAUGAAAAAGGAUCAUGUAUGCUUUAAGAUUUUCAAUGUAUGAUUAAAAUGAUGUGAAUACCUCAUGUUGUGUACAACUUUGCGGGAAUUAAACAUUCAAAGGGAGUGCUAAUUUCAAUUUAUUAAACAUUAAACAUUCAAAGGGAUUGCUAAUUUCAUGGUA